GACGAACCGUGCGAACGUUGUUCGGAAUCACUGGGCAUAAAGGGCGCGUAGGCGGGCCGCCAAGUCCGGGGUGAAAGCUCCCGGCCCAACCGGGAACGUGCCUGGGAUACUGGCGGCCUCGAGGGGGAUAGGGGCCGACGGAACUUCCGGUGGAGCGGUGAAAUGCGUUGAUAUCGGAAGGAACGCCGGUGGCGAAAGCGGUCGGCUGGACCCCUACUGACGCUGAGGCGCGAAAGCCAGGGGAGCAAACGGG
rnacentral:rRNA from 1 species